rnacentral:rRNA from 1 species
GACCGCGGAUUUUCUUUGCCGCCGAGCAUUUUCUUCCGUGGUUUCUUGAACUUCUUUGGAGCGCAACUCCACCACUUCACCCCGAAUUCUAUCGCCUACCUUGCCGCGUUCGUGUCCAUGUGUGAGAGUUUUCUGGGUUGUCGACCGCAUUGGGGCUUGUUCAAGCACAUAUUCACGUGUCGCUCUCAGACCGUGAAGAAGGCGAGCCCAGGCGACGAAAAAACCCGAGUCGUCCAAAUGUGUGGGGGUCUGGGGAUCCAGGUGAGGAUCAAGAGCACCUUCCCAGCCAUGACAUUUCCCGAGUCAGUCAGAGGCUGGCAGUCGACCUGG